AUUUUUUGAUGAGGAAACAUUCUCAACAAUUCUUUAAACCUCUCUAAUGCAUCAUAUAAUGAUUCCCUGUCAGUCUGGAAGAAGCUAUUAAUCUCUCAUCUCAACCU